rnacentral:rRNA from 1 species
UACGAAGGGGGCUAGCGUUGCUCGGAAUUACUGGGCGUAAAGGGCGCGUAGGCGGCCAGUUUAGUCAGAGGUGAAAGCCCAGGGCUCAACCUUGGAAUUGCCUUUGAUACUGGCUGUCUUGAGUUCGGGAGAGGUGAGUGGAAUGCCGAGUGUAGAGGUGAAAUUCGUAGAUAUUCGGCGGAACACCAGUGGCGAAGGCGACUCACUGGCCCGAUACUGACGCUGAGGUGCGAAAGCGUGGGGAGCAAACAGG